rnacentral:rRNA from 1 species
CGUACACUCCUGCGGGAGGCAGCAGUAGGGAAUCUUCCACAAUGGGUGCAAACCUGAUGGAGCAAUGCCGCGUGAGUGAAGAAGGUCUUCGGAUCGUAAAGCUCUGUUGUUAGAGAAGAACACGUGCUAGGUAACUACUAGCGCCUUGACGGUAUCUAACCAGAAAGUCACGGCUAACUACGUGCCAGCAGCCGCGGUAAUACGUAGGUGACAAGCGUUGUCCGGAUUUAUUGGGCGUAAAGGGAGCGCAGGCGGUCUGUUUAGUCUAAUGUGAAAGCCCACGGCUUAACCGUGGAACGGCAUUGGAAACUGACAGACUUGAAUGUAGAAGAGGAAAAUGGAAUUCCAAGUGUAGCGGUGGAAUGCGUAGAUAUUUGGAGGAACACCAGUGGCGAAGGCGAUUUUCUGGUCUAACAUUGACGCUGAGGCUCGAAAGCGUGGGGAGCGAACAGGAUUAGAAACCCCAGUAGUCCCAUGAU